CCCCAGACUGUGCUUUUGAGAGACAUACUGUCGAAGCAACAAAAGAGUGUGAUGGCUUUUCCAAUGCAAGCAAGAAGUCCUACCUCAGAGGAUGGCUGUAUCAUGGAAAACAUUAUGCUACACUACGUCAGACCACAUAUGUAGCACCUGCAGCAUAACGCCUCAACACACCACAGGGAUGGUGGUGGUAACGAAGGAACCACACUGGGAUACGGGCAGCUGAGGUCUGGAGUUACAGGGUCACACACAUAGGAUGUUGGGUACGUUUGACCCCCAGCAACAGAGUGACAUUCCAAUUUUUCCAAGCCAAUACUCAGUACCCAACUCCAGAGAACAGCCAGACAAAAAUCUCACGUGUCCCAGACUGAUCUCAGCUCACUACGCAGCCAAGAAUGACCUUGAACCCCUGAUCCUGCCUCCAUUUCUCCAGUGCUGGAAUUCCAGGUGUGUCUCACCAUGGCUGGCUUCGCUACAUCUUUUGUAUUUUUAAACAUUCUUCCUUCUUUUCAUUCUGCUGCUUCUUUUAAACAGGAAAUGAUUAAAGCACACCUUUAUA